rnacentral:rRNA from 1 species
GGGGCAAGCGUUAUCCGGAUUUACUGGGUGUAAAGGGAGCGUAGACGGCCAGACAAGUCUGAAGUGAAAAUCCAGCGCUUAACGUUGGAAGUGCUUUGGAAACUGCCGGGCUAGAGUGCAGGAGGGGCAGGCGGAAUUCCUAGUGUAGCGGUGAAAUGCGUAGAUAUUAGGAGGAACACCAGUGGCGAAGGCGGCCUGCUGGACUGCAACUGACGUUGAGGCUCGAAGGCGUGGGGAGCAAACA